rnacentral:lncRNA from 1 species
UUAGUCCUACCCUUUCUCUAACAGGUUCAUCUUUGGAAGACUACAGAAUUGAGCCUGCAAUUAGAAAUUUAACUGUAGAAAGGAGUAAGUCCAGAGAGACCAGUAGAUUAACGCACCCACCAGUCACUACACCCAAAAUAAGGAUUCAAUGAAAAGAGAAAGGACAUCCUGGCCCAACAAUGCUUGAGCUUCUGUCUUACAGGACUUUGCCUAGCAGCUAUCUUCCCUUCCCUGUCAGAGGCCUGAAUGAUCCCAGUAUUAUAGAGCUCUGAAUCUUAUCUCCAGAGCCUUGGAUUUCCAGGGAGCUCACAUUCUAAUGGAGAGAGAAUGCAACAUAUGGAAGGCUUCAGCUGCAAGUCAGAUGGAAAGUCCCAUUGUCCUUAAGUGUUUUAUUGCUUCAACUGAACUGGCUUCUCAAAGAGCAAUUGGCCAACAAGUGGUGGGAAUGGCUUCUUUUUCUUCUCUACAGGAGUCACCUUUUAGGAUGGAACAACAACUCUAGGAGGGCUUAAUUGUAAGCAUGACUGAUUGUGGGAUUUGGAUGGAACUGCUACCAUAAGACUUGUAAAAUUUAAAAUUAAAUCUCAAUAAUAAAAACAUUAUAUUUU